rnacentral:rRNA from 1 species
CGGAUUGAAGGCUGAAAUUCGCCUUCAUGAAGCUGGAAUUGCUAGUAAUGGCAGGUCAGCAUACUGCCGUGAAUACGUUCCCGGGCCUUGUACACACCGCCCGUCACACCAUGAGAGUUGGGGAUACCCGAAGCCUGUGAGCUAACUUUUAGAGGCAGCAGUCGAAGGUAGAAUCAAUGAUUGGGGUGAAGUCGUAACAAGGUACC